GGUUAAGCGACUAAGCGUACACGGUGGAUGCCCUGGCAGUCAGAGGCGAUGAAGGACGUGCUAAUCUGCGAUAAGCGUCGGUAAGGUGAUAUGAACCGUUAUAACCGGCGAUUUCCGAAUGGGGAAACCCAGUGUGAUUCGUCACACUAUCAUUAACUGAAUCCAUAGGUUAAUGAGGCGAACCGGGGGAACUGAAACAUCUAAGUACCCCGAGGAAAAGAAAUCAACCGAGAUUCCCCAGUAGCGGCGAGCGAACGGGGAGCAGCCCAGAGCCUGAAUCAGUGUGUGUGUUAGUGGAAGCGUCUGGAAAGGCGCGCGAUACAGGGUGACAGCCCCGUACACAAAAAUGCACAUGCUGUGAGCUCGAUGAGUAGGGCGGGACACGUGGUAUCCUGUCUGAAUAUGGGGGGACCAUCCUCCAAGGCUAAAUACUCCUGACUGACCGAUAGUGAACCAGUACCGUGAGGGAAAGGCGAAAAGAACCCCGGCGAGGGGAGUGAAAAAGAACCUGAAACCGUGUACGUACAAGCAGUGGGAGCACGCUUAGGCGUGUGACUGCGUACCUUUUGUAUAAUGGGUCAGCGACUUAUAUUCUGUAGCAAGGUUAACCGAAUAGGGGAGCCGAAGGGAAACCGAGUCUUAACUGGGCGUUAAGUUGCAGGGUAUAGACCCGAAACCCGGUGAUCUAGCCAUGGGCAGGUUGAAGGUUGGGUAACACUAACUGGAGGACCGAACCGACUAAUGUUGAAAAAUUAGCGGAUGACUUGUGGCUGGGGGUGAAAGGCCAAUCAAACCGGGAGAUAGCUGGUUCUCCCCGAAAGCUAUUUAGGUAGCGCCUCGUGAAUUCAUCUCCGGGGGUAGAGCACUGUUUCGGCAAGGGGGUCAUCCCGACUUACCAACCCGAUGCAAACUGCGAAUACCGGAGAAUGUUAUCACGGGAGACACACGGCGGGUGCUAACGUCCGUCGUGAAGAGGGAAACAACCCAGACCGCCAGCUAAGGUCCCAAAGUCAUGGUUAAGUGGGAAACGAUGUGGGAAGGCCCAGACAGCCAGGAUGUUGGCUUAGAAGCAGCCAUCAUUUAAAGAAAGCGUAAUAGCUCACUGGUCGAGUCGGCCUGCGCGGAAGAUGUAACGGGGCUAAACCAUGCACCGAAGCUGCGGCAGCGACGCUGAUGCGUUGUUGGGUAGGGGAGCGUUCUGUAAGCCUGCGAAGGUGUGCUGUGAGGCAUGCUGGAGGUAUCAGAAGUGCGAAUGCUGACAUAAGUAACGAUAAAGCGGGUGAAAAGCCCGCUCGCCGGAAGACCAAGGGUUCCUGUCCAACGUUAAUCGGGGCAGGGUGAGUCGACCCCUAAGGCGAGGCCGAAAGGCGUAGUCGAUGGGAAACAGGUUAAUAUUCCUGUACUUGGUGUUACUGCGAAGGGGGGACGGAGAAGGCUAUGUUGGCCGGGCGACGGUUGUCCCGGUUUAAGCGUGUAGGCUGGUUUUCCAGGCAAAUCCGGAAAAUCAAGGCUGAGGCGUGAUGACGAGGCACUACGGUGCUGAAGCAACAAAUGCCCUGCUUCCAGGAAAAGCCUCUAAGCAUCAGGUAACAUCAAAUCGUACCCCAAACCGACACAGGUGGUCAGGUAGAGAAUACCAAGGCGCUUGAGAGAACUCGGGUGAAGGAACUAGGCAAAAUGGUGCCGUAACUUCGGGAGAAGGCACGCUGAUAUGUAGGUGAAGUCCCUCGCGGAUGGAGCUGAAAUCAGUCGAAGAUACCAGCUGGCUGCAACUGUUUAUUAAAAACACAGCACUGUGCAAACACGAAAGUGGACGUAUACGGUGUGACGCCUGCCCGGUGCCGGAAGGUUAAUUGAUGGGGUUAGCGCAAGCGAAGCUCUUGAUCGAAGCCCCGGUAAACGGCGGCCGUAACUAUAACGGUCCUAAGGUAGCGAAAUUCCUUGUCGGGUAAGUUCCGACCUGCACGAAUGGCGUAAUGAUGGCCAGGCUGUCUCCACCCGAGACUCAGUGAAAUUGAACUCGCUGUGAAGAUGCAGUGUACCCGCGGCAAGACGGAAAGACCCCGUGAACCUUUACUAUAGCUUGACACUGAACAUUGAGCCUUGAUGUGUAGGAUAGGUGGGAGGCUUUGAAGUGUGGACGCCAGUCUGCAUGGAGCCGACCUUGAAAUACCACCCUUUAAUGUUUGAUGUUCUAACGUUGACCCGUAAUCCGGGUUGCGGACAGUGUCUGGUGGGUAGUUUGACUGGGGCGGUCUCCUCCUAAAGAGUAACGGAGGAGCACGAAGGUUGGCUAAUCCUGGUCGGACAUCAGGAGGUUAGUGCAAUGGCAUAAGCCAGCUUGACUGCGAGCGUGACGGCGCGAGCAGGUGCGAAAGCAGGUCAUAGUGAUCCGGUGGUUCUGAAUGGAAGGGCCAUCGCUCAACGGAUAAAAGGUACUCCGGGGAUAACAGGCUGAUACCGCCCAAGAGUUCAUAUCGACGGCGGUGUUUGGCACCUCGAUGUCGGCUCAUCACAUCCUGGGGCUGAAGUAGGUCCCAAGGGUAUGGCUGUUCGCCAUUUAAAGUGGUACGCGAGCUGGGUUUAGAACGUCGUGAGACAGUUCGGUCCCUAUCUGCCGUGGGCGCUGGAGAACUGAGGGGGGCUGCUCCUAGUACGAGAGGACCGGAGUGGACGCAUCACUGGUGUUCGGGUUGUCAUGCCAAUGGCACUGCCCGGUAGCUAAAUGCGGAAGAGAUAAGUGCUGAAAGCAUCUAAGCACGAAACUUGCCCCGAGAUGAGUUCUCCCUGACUCCUUGAGAGUCCUGAAGGAACGUUGAAGACGACGACGUUGAUAGGCCGGGUGUGUAAGCGCAGCGAUGCGUUGAGCUAACCGGUACUAAUGAACCGUGAGGCUUAACCUU
rnacentral:rRNA from 1 species